GAGGAGUGCGGACGUGCUGUGCUUCCUGCACACGUAAGGAAGAAGGCUCAACACCCAAGUUGUGUUUACACUCGCUGCAAGCGCACGUCAAAUAUGACAGCAAUUUCAGUGUUUGUAUCAACACACUCUACAUGCAAAAUAAAGCCACAAAUCACCCCUCAAGCUUUUUCAAAGGCAUUAGUUGAGAGUAGCCAGGGUGAAAACACACAAGUGCAGCUGUAGGAAGUUGAGCAAGGGCCAGCUGUGAAUCCCACUGUCUUGUUGCCUCAGAGAGAUCGAGUCAAGGCCAGCUGAACGCACUGGGAAUCGCAGUGAUGUGGCACAUGCAGAUCGGCUCCGGUGCCAUGGGCUGUAAACUUCUUCACAAUGUUGCGGACAGUGGACACAGGACAUUAAGAUCUCUGGAGAUGGACUUGUUGUCUUGAGAUUGUCCCUGCUUUUUUUUUUUGGUUCUCAAAUCCUCAGACAACUCUUUACUGUUCUUUCUGUUGUCCGUGCUCAGUGUGGUGCACACAGAUACACAACACAAAGGCUGAGUCAACCUUUCUCCAUUUGAACUGGUUGUGAUUUCCAUAUUGCCAGCACCUGUGAAUUGCUGCAGGUGAGUUUAAUUACAAAUUAAAGAAUCAUCACACGCUUGAAAUACAAUUAUUUCUGGAGAUUUUGAAAAGGUGACAGUAGUAGAAAGUAGAAAUACAGAAUGCCCAAAAGGGUUCAGGCAGUGCUGGAAAAUAACGGUGGCCACACAAAAUAUUGACACUUGGGGCCCAGUUUGGACA